AGCGACUACCAUGAAACAGAGUAUUGGAUUACCUAAGGAAAGAAGCAGAGGAUGGAAUUUGAGGCAAUCAGGAUGAGUGAAAAAUUGAUUUGCAGCUGACCUGCAAAUGGAAUCAUCAGGAACAUCCCUUUCUCAUGGAGUCCCUUAAUUUACAAGUUAACUGCAAACAUAGGAGAUGAUAGUUCCAAGAAGGAACAUUUUAUCGUCUUUGUUUUUAAUCUCAAGAAUGGUACCUACCAUCAGUGAAUGACCUGUUGCAGUGCUUUCAUUGAAGUGUUCUUCGUUCCCUCAGCAAUAUGAUUGUGAUGACUGAAAAAGGGAAACUGUGCCACUAUUUGUACCAUCAUUUUCACCAAAAUCUAAAAAUGCUUUUUAUGACGUAUGGAGACAUUCUUCAUGUUUGUUUCAGUGGACACUCCUUGCAGAUGUAAAAAACUGAGAAAACUCACUUUUGGAAAGUGACCUAAAGAGUGUCAUUGAAGUGAAUUUUAAGUAGGCACGAUGAUUGUUUUCAUGGUUGCUGUUGGAUCAUAUCUCAGGAGCUGGAAUGACAGACAUUAUUGAACAAAGAAAUCAGGAUAGUGGAACUUAAAGGGCUUCAUCUCAGUGCUUUCAUAAGUAUGAAGUGCAUAUAUUUAUAAUUUUCACUAAUCACAGGGUAAAUAUAAAAUUGAUU
rnacentral:lncRNA from 1 species